rnacentral:siRNA from 1 species
CAUAGUAGGUUGCCUUUAAGCCA